UACGUAGGGGGCCAGCGUUGUCCGGAAUCAUUGGGCGUAAAGAGCGCGUAGGCGGCCAGAUAAGUCUGGUGUGAAAGUCAAAGGCUCAACCUUUGAAUGCCGCUGGAAACUGUCUGGCUAGAGUCCGGGAGGGGCGAGUGGAAUUCCUGGUGUAGCGGUGAAAUGCGCAGAUAUCAGGAGGAACACCAAUGGCGAAGGCAGCUCGCUGGAACGGUACUGACGCUGAGACGCGAAAGCGUGGGGAGCGAACAGG
rnacentral:rRNA from 1 species